UGAUGCAGCAACGCCGCGUGAGGGAUGACGGCCUUCGGGUUGUAAACCUCUUUUAGUAGGGAAGAAGCGAAAGUGACGGUACCUGCAGAAAAAGCACCGGCUAACUACGUGCCAGCAGCCGCGGUAAUACGUAGGGUGCAAGCGUUGUCCGGAAUUAUUGGGCGUAAAGAGCUCGUAGGCGGUUUGUCGCGUCUGCUGUGAAAACUGGAGGCUCAACCUCCAGCCUGCAGUGGGUACGGGCAGACUAGAGUGCGGUAGGGGAGAUUGGAAUUCCUGGUGUAGCGGUGGAAUGC
rnacentral:rRNA from 1 species